UGAUGGUGUGCGUGCAAAGGGCUAAGCAUGAAUUUCAGAAAAUUUUUACGCGGAAAGAACGGGUUAAACAUUUUAACCCAUAACAUGCUUGAUAUUUUAGAUAUUUUAACUCUGGUACCAGUCGAAAACAGUCUUCAACUGCACAUCGCAUGUGGCGCGGGCUCAGUCCCAAUACACAGGAUGACACCCGCGCGUGCCUAUCAAAGCACUCAUCAUAUGAGCCUCCGGGUGGAGAGCCACGCUUCGUCACACGAUCACGCAUGAGAGUUUUCGAAAAUCGAAUAGUCCCCAUUAAUCCUUUGCUUUGACACCAAAUAUCACAAAGCUCUCAUAUCCCGAGGAUUGUGUGAUUCAAAUAAAUAUGCAUAAAUCACAACUUCUUGUAAUUUGAAGAUUGAGAUCAUAUCUCAACCAUAAAAGAGAUCAGAUCUCUUACCUUUAGAAGGAGAUUCCUUUAAGGAUGCUUCGCAGCCGCACAAGCGUCCGACCUCGAUGACUCGUCCAGGCAAAGCUCCGGAAUGAUCAGCUUUCCGGGGAGUGCUAGCUCGCAGGGAGGCAGAAGGUUGGCUGAAAGGGGAAGAAGGAAGAAGAUGGACCUUCACAGCUCAAGAACUCCUUCUUGGGCUUUCAUCUUCGGAACUACUCUCUCCUCUCACUCUCUUUCUG
rnacentral:lncRNA from 1 species